rnacentral:rRNA from 1 species
GACGAACGCUGGCGGCGUGCUUAACACAUGCAAGUCGAACGGAGUGGAGAACGGGUGAGUAACACGUGGGUGAUCUGCCUUGCACUUCGGGAUAAGCUUGGGAAACUGGGUCUAAUACCGGAUAUGGCAAGAUGAGCUCGCGGCCUAUCAGCUUGUUGUUGGGGUAAUGGCCUACCAAGGCGUAGACGGGUAGCCGGCCGGAGAGGGUGUACGGCCACCUUGGGACUGAGGUACGGGCCGUACUCCUACGGGAGGCAGCAGUGGGGAAUCGUGCCCAAUUGGCGGAAGCCUGAUGCAGCGACGCCGCGUGGUGGAUGAAUGCCUUCGGGUUGUAAACUCCUGUCGACGGGGACGCGGUACCUGUAUAAGAAGCCCCGGCUAACUACGUGCCAGCGGCCGCGGUAAUAC